AACAUCAACGGAACUGUCUUGCAAAUUAUAAUUUAAUUUAUUGAAUAGUUAAAUAAAUAGUAAAUUAAUAGUUAAUAGUUAGAUGGUUAUAACAGACACAGGUAAGUUAAAAGUUAAUGAAAUGUCUCCUGCAAGUCUGAAUUUCACUUACCAGUAAUUCAAUUUAGUACAUGAUUUUAGAUUAUCAUGUCUUUUUAGUUAGGUGUAGGUGGCUGAAUCAGACACAACAGACAGGUAAGUUACUAAUUACUUAUGAACUACUUAAUUAUGAAAAGUCUCCAGUGAAUCUUAGAAAUUUUAGUUGAUGGUUAGGCUUAGAGGUGAAGUAGAAAAUGUAGAAAAUUUUUGAUGAAAGUCUCCCGCAAUUCUUCCAGUUAAUUUAAUAACUGAUUGAUUCUAAUUCAUUUUGUUGUAGUUUCCUGUUUUCUUUUUUGUUUCCACAGAUGUGUAUGCUGACCUGAGAAGUGCAAGACUGGGAUUUCCACGAGGACAGAGAAGAUAUGGACCAGAUGAGAGGGAUUACUGCAGGACCGUAUGGAGUGUGGUGCGCACGUUUCUGUCAGCUGGCUGAGGCAGUUGAGAGUGGACAUCAACCAACCAAUCAUUCCAGGACCACAGCAAACCACUGAAGCUGUCUCAGUACAACACUUGCGUCCCGGCCCCAAGACCCACAACCCCUGACACCAGCCUCUACACCUACACGUCCAGACGAUGAGGGCCGCCCGGGCCUGACCAGCACAGGGGAUGUUGUUGUUUCCAUUCACUUCUUCUGUGCUGGUGGGUUUGGGAUGCUCCUCACAGACCUGCACACCGGAGGUUGCCACCACCUCACAGCAUCUGGACUCAGAAGUCGAGUCAGUUAAGAAAGUGAGUCGGUUCAUUCUAGGACAAAAGAAAAGAAUAAUAAAUAUGGUGCAAACUUUAAUUAACAGUGUGUUUCUGAUUUUAAUUUGACUGAAAUACAUUGCUGUUACAUGUGUAAAUUUGAACUGUGUGACUUAAUAAUCUGGUGGAUUUAUAAUAGGUACACUGGCGUUUUUGGUUCUGGUGUUUUCCAAUGUUGCAUUUUAUUUCCUUGUUACAAAACCGUAAACGGGACAGGCAGUCACGCAGCCCUGUUAAGCCUUAAGAGGAGUGACAAUGCCGCCAUGUUCUGAAGCCCUGACAAUAAUCAUUAAUACAAAUCAGACAGCAGGGAUAGAAGCACAAAUGUUUUAAGAAACUAACCUUAUGUUGUCCUUGAACGAAGCAGAGAACUUCAAAAUGUUCCCGAUGAGCUACACGUUAGCCGACCACUCACAGUGUUGUGAAUGUGUGAAACUGUUUGAAGCAGAGUUUCAGUGAACGUUGUCAAACCCCGUCAGCCAAAGUGACGGAGGGAUUUAUUUAUUUGCUCAUGAAGCAUGGAUUC